GAACAAACAUAAAGGAAAACAAAACAACCCAAUAUAGACCUAUUCCUCCUUCAUGCUUCACUUCUCAUAUUGUCUUGCCCUCAAAGUUCUAACACCUUUCUCUUCCUUAAGAAAGAAAAGCAAAAGAAGCCCUUGCUGCAGAAGGAGGAUGGACGGUGGUUCGGCACCACAAGGGGCUCGGUUGCUCAAGCUGCUGCAAAGAAUAAAUUGGCCAAAAAGAAACAUACAGGAGUUCAUCAAGAUUUCUACCGCUUUCAAGAAAGAGAAGCUCAGAGAAAUGAGCUAAUGGAAUUGCAAAGCAAAUUUGAAGAGGAUAAAAAACGUCUGCGACAGUUGAGAGCUGCUAGGAAAUUUAGACCUUAUUAAAUGAUGUUUAUUGCAGCAAAGGUCCCAGGUUCUUUUCUUGGGGGAGUGGAUUUAAUUCACGAAGUACUGAAGUUGAAUUAUCCUUUAGUCCUGACGAAUUUUGUUCAUUUACCAUUCCAAUUUUGUCAAAAAUAUUUGUUAAUUUACGAAGUAUUUAUUUUAAUUUGAGUUA